UGCCAGACUCCUACGGGAGGCAGCAGUGGGGGAUAUUGCACAAUGGGGGAAACCCUGAUGCAGCGACGCCGCGUGGGUGAAGAAGCGCCUCGGCGCGUAAAGCCCUGUCAGCAGGGAAGAAAAUGACGGUACCUGAAGAAGAAGCCCCGGCUAACUACGUGCCAGCAGCCGCGGUAAUACGUAGGGGGCAAGCGUUAUCCGGAUUUACUGGGUGUAAAGGGGGCGCAGACGGUGAUGCAAGCCAGGAGUGAAAGCCCGGGGCCCAACCCCGGGACUGCUCUUGGAACUGUAAGGCUAGAGUGUCGGAGAGGCAGGCGGAAUUCCUAGUGUAGCGGUGAAAUGCGUAGAUAUUAGGAGGAACACCAGUGGCGAAGGCGGCCUGCUGGACGAUGACUGACGUUGAGGCUCGAAAGCGUGGGGAGCAAACAGGAUUAGAUACCCUAGUA
rnacentral:rRNA from 1 species